GAUGAACGCUGGCGGCGUGCCUAAUACAUGCAAGUCGAGCGAACAGAUAAGGAGCUUGCUCCUUUGACGUUAGCGGCGGACGGGUGAGUAACACGUGGGUAACCUACCUAUAAGACUGGAAUAACUCCGGGAAACCGGGGCUAAUGCCGGAUAACAUUUAGAACCGCAUGGUUCUAAAGUGAAAGAUGGUUUUGCUAUCACUUAUAGAUGGACCCGCGCCGUAUUAGCUAGUUGGUAAGGUAACGGCUUACCAAGGCAACGAUACGUAGCCGACCUGAGAGGGGGAUCGGCCACCCGGGAACUGAGCCACGGUCCAGACUCCUACGGGAGGCAGCAGUAGGGAAUCUUCCGCAAUGGGCGAAAGCCUGACGGAGCAACGCCGCUGGAGUGAUGAAGGUCUUCGGAUCGUAAAACUCUGUUAUUAGGGAAGAACAAAUGUGUAAGUAACGGUGCACGUCUUGACGGUACCUAAUCAGAAAGCCACGGCUAACUAGGG
rnacentral:rRNA from 1 species